rnacentral:RNase_P_RNA from 1 species
ACGGCAGGGUAAACCCCACCCGGAGCAAGACCAAAUAGGAAUCCAUGGGCGUGGUCCGCGCCGGAUUCGGGUAGGUCGCUAGAGGUGUGCGGUGACGCGCAUCCCAGAUGAAUGGUCGCCUUUGACAGAACCCGGCUUACAGGCCGGCUCCCUUU